rnacentral:rRNA from 1 species
AGAGUUUGAUCCUGGCUCAGAUUGAACGCUGGCGGCAUGCCUUACACAUGCAAGUCGAACGGUAACGCGGGGCAACCUGGCGACGAGUGGCGAACGGGUGAGUAAUGCAUCGGAACGUGCCCAAUAGUGGGGGAUAGCCCGGCGAAAGCCGGAUUAAUACCGCAUACGACCUACGGGUGAAAGCGGGGGACUCGCAAGAGCCUCGCGCUAUUGGAGCGGCCGAUGUCAGAUUAGGUUGUUGGUGGGGUAAAAGCCUACCAAGCCGACGAUCUGUAGCUGGUCUGAGAGGACGACCAGCCACACUGGGACUGAGACACGGCCCAGACUCCUACGGGAGGCAGCAGUGGGGAAUUUUGGACAAUGGGCGCAAGCCUGAUCCAGCCAUGCCGCGUGCGGGAAGAAGGCCUUCGGGUUGUAAACCGCUUUUGUCAGGGAAGAAACGCUCUGGGCUAAUACCCCGGGGUAAUGACGGUACCUGAAGAAUAAGCACCGGCUAACUACGUGCCAGCAGCCGCGGUAAUACGUAGGGUGCAAGCGUUAAUCGGAAUUACUGGGCGUAAAGCGUGCGCAGGCGGUCUUGCAAGACAGAUGUGAAAUCCCCGGGCUUAACCUGGGAACUGCAUUUGUGACUGCAAGGCUGGAGUACGGUAGAGGGGGAUGAAUUCCGCGUGUAGCAGUGAAAUGCGUAGAUAUGCGGAGGAACACCGAUGGCGAAGGCAAUCCCCUGGACCUGUACUGACGCUCAUGCACGAAAGCGUGGGGAGCAAACAGGAUUAGAUACCCUGGUAGUCCACGCCCUAAACGAUGUCAACUGGUUGUUGGGAAGGUUCCUUCUCAGUAACGUAGCUAACGCGUGAAGUUGACCGCCUGGGGAGUGCGGCCGCAAGGUUGAAACUCAAAGGAAUUGACGGGGACCCGCACAAGCGGUGGAUGAUGUGGUUUAAUUCGACGCAACGCGAAAAACCUUACCUACCCUUGACAUGUCUGGAAUUUUGCAGAGAUGUGAAAGUGCUCGAAAGAGAACCAGAACACAGGUGCUGCAUGGCCGUCGUCAGCUCGCGUCGUGAGAUGUUGGGUUAAGUCCCGCAACGAGCGCAACCCUUGUCAUUAGUUGCUACGAAAGGGCACUCUAAUGAGACUGCCGGUGACAAACCGGAGGAAGGUGGGGAUGACGUCAGGUCAUCAUGGCCCUUAUGGGUAGGGCUACACACGUCAUACAAUGGCCGGUACAGAGGGCUGCCAACCCGCGAGGGGGAGCCAAUCCCAGAAAACCGGUCGUAGUCCGGAUCGCAGUCUGCAACUCGACUGCGUGAAGUCGGAAUCGCUAGUAAUCGCGGAUCAGCUUGCCGCGGUGAAUACGUUCCCGGGUCUUGUACACACCGCCCGUCACACCAUGGGAGCGGGUUCUGCCAGAAGUAGUUAGCCUAACCGCAAGGAGGGCGAUUACCACGGCAGGGUUCGUGACUGGGGUGAAGUCGUAACAAGGUA